CCUACGGGUGGCAGCAGUGAGGAAUAUUGCUCAAUGGACGAGAGUCUGAUCCAGCCAAGUAGCGUGAAGGAUGACUGCCCUAUGAGUUGUAACCUUCUUUUAUAUGGGAAUAAAACAAGGUAUGCAUACCCUCUUGUAUGUACCAUAUGAAUGAGGAUCGGCUAACUCCGUGCCAGCAGCCGCGGUAAUACGGAGGAUCCGAGCGUUAUCCGGAUUUCUUGGGGGUAAAGGGAGCGUAGGUGGAUUGUUAAGUCAGUUGUGAAAGUUUGCGGCUUAACCGGAAAAUUGCAGUUGAAACUGGCAGUCUUGAGUAAAGUAGAGGUGGGCGGAAUUCGGGGUGUAGCGGUGAAAUGCUUAGAUAUCACGAAGAACUCCGAUUGCGAAGGCAGCCCACUGGACUGCAACUGACACUGAGGCUCGAAAGUGUGGGUAUCAAACAGGAUUAGAUACCCGAGUAGUC
rnacentral:rRNA from 1 species